rnacentral:misc_RNA from 1 species
AACGCACCUUGCGCUCCUUGGCUAUUCCGAGGAGCAUGCCUGUUUGAGUGUCAUGUUAAUCUCAACCCCGCCGGUUUUGUGAUCGCGUUGGGUGUUGGACUUGGGGGCUGCUGGCUUAUCUCAAAGCCGGCUCCUCUUGAAUGCAUUAGCUUGGACCUGUUCGCUUGCUAGCGGUGUAAUACGUAUAUAUUCACUGUGCGCGAGUGUAACUACAAAGGGUCUGCUUCUAAUCGUCCUUCACGGGACACUUAACUCUUGACUCUGACCUCAAAUCAGGUAGGACUACCCGCUGAACUUAA